CGUAUAUUUGAUGAGUUCGUCUACGAUGCUUGGCAUAUUGUCAGUUUGUAAGAUGUUGAAGAAGAAUUUGUCCGUGUUUCUGAAAAUCACGUGAUGAUAUCCAAUGAAACACUCAAUAUUCUGAUUCCAAAACUAAUUUUACGAUUUUUUAUUUUAAACGUGAAAUUCUUGUGAUGUCCAUGAGCAGUUCCUAGAUCCUCUGUUCAAUUUAUGCUGAUGAGCCGCAUGGUUGCCUAUAAUUCGCAGUGGAAGAAGAAGAGGAUGAGGAGGCUCAAGAGGAAGCGCCGAAAGAUGAGGCAGCGAUCCAAGUAGGCGCCUUGGAGGAUGGAGGCGUAGCAUCAUCUUACAUCCAGGCAUCGAAACACCGAGGGAUGAUGGCAUAGGCUUGUGAUUCCUGAUGUGUUCUGCCGCUGUGGUUGUGGAAGUCGUUUUACCUUUGUCUUGUCAAAUUUAGCUGUUUAAUACUUGUCUGGUUAUGUUCCAGGACUGAGUUUUAUGUAAUGUGAGGAUUAUAUGUGUUUAUGACUGAAUUUUAUGCACCUAUUAUCUUUAAGCUACUCUGAAUAGUUACUUUUGACCUUGCAUUUGUUCUGUCUGCAUCUUUUUGCGUUGCGAAAUGCCGUACCUCAUUGUUAGCUGCCAGUGAAUGGUUCAUCAAAUGAACUUCCGAAUGUGUUUGUUUUUUGGGCAAGCACCAUGUGGUAAUUUGAACUGAGACAUAACAUCAGCGCCCAAUUUGAAAAAAAAUUUCCCUGGCAAACAACCCCGUUAAAAAAGAAAAAAAACUUUUAAAAAAGAAAAAACUCCUUUGAACGAGGAAAAAAUCGUUUGAAAAAAGACAAAAUUCUUUUUAAAAAACAAAAAAUCCUUUUUAAAAAAAACAAAAUCCGUUGAAAUAAGAACACAGUUCUGUGAAAAGACGAAACGGCUUGUUGAACAAGAAAAUGCCGGUGUUGAGAUGAACUUACGUCGUGGAGAGAAACGACGAGUAGUUUUGUGAAAAAGGAAGGGUGGCGGGUUGCGAAUAAUCCCGGGGUGACUUUAGGGCAAAGGUAAGGGAAAAUAGGGGGUUAAGACUCUGAUGCCUCUCGAUAUAAGGGGGUGCUGUAUGAGAUUAGGGUGAUAUUAAUGGCUUUGGCUAAGGGAUGAGGGCGGCGUGUGAUUAGAGGGGUGUAGUUGAUAUGUGCGCGGACGGCCUAUUCUUUAGGUGUUUUUCCUGGGGCGUGAAUUCUUCGUGGCGUGUUUUUUGGGGAAGGCGUUGGUUUUGCUCUACAGGCGAGGGAGACGAUGAAUUUGCGGUUAUGAUGGGUAUAAACCGCUGCAAGAUCGAGAUUGUGGGGGUUAUGGGGUGUCGAAUUAGAUGUGAUGUUUUUGAGAGUCUGUACAGGUAAUGGUUGGAAUGCUCUAAAGGGGGAGGAUCUAAUAGGUUGUUAAGAAUUGAGCUGAUUAAG
rnacentral:lncRNA from 1 species